rnacentral:rRNA from 1 species
GACGAACCGUGCGAACGUUAUUCGGAAUCACUGGGCUUAAAGGGCGCGUAGGCGGGCAGCCAAGUCAAGGGUGAAAUCGUUCGGCCCAACCGGACAAGUGCCCUCGAUACUGGCUGUCUCGAGGGAGGUAGGGGUCUGUGGAACUUCCGGUGGAGCGGUGAAAUGCGUAGAUAUCAGGAGGAACGCCGGUGGCGAAAGCGACUCUCUGGGCCGCUCCUGACACUAAAGCGCGAGAGCUAGGGGAGCAAACAGG